CGGUAACAGGGGAAGCUUGCUUCCCGCUGACGAGCGGCGGACGGGUGAGUAAUGCUUAGGAAUCUGCCCAGUAGUGGGGGAUAGCCCGGGGAAACCCGGAUUAAUACCGCAUACGUCCUACGGGAGAAAGCAGGGGAUCUUCGGACCUUGCGCUAUUGGAUGAGCCUAAGUCGGAUUAGCUAGUUGGUGGGGUAAAGGCCUACCAAGGCGACGAUCCGUAGCUGGUCUGAGAGGAUGAUCAGCCACAUCGGGACUGAGACACGGCCCGAACUCCUACGGGAGGCAGCAGUGGGGAAUAUUGGACAAUGGGGGCAACCCUGAUCCGGCCAUGCCGCGUGUGUGAAGAAGGCUUUCGGGUUGUAAAGCACUUUCAGUAGGGAGGAAAACCUUAUGGUUAAGACCCAUGAGGCUUGACGUUACCUACAGAAGAGGGCACCGGCUAACUCCGUGCCAGC
rnacentral:rRNA from 2 species